rnacentral:rRNA from 1 species
UACGUAGGGUGCAAGCGUUGUCCGGAAUUAUUGGGCGUAAAGAGCUCGUAGGCGGUCUGUCGCGUCGGCUGUGAAAUCCCGAGGCUCAACCUCGGGUCUGCAGUCGAUACGGGCAAACUAGAGUAUUGCAGGGGAGACUGGGAAUUCCUGGUGUAGCGGUGAAAUGCGCAGAUAUCAGGAGGAACACCGGUGGCGAAGGCGGGUCUCUGGGCAAUAACUGACGCUGGAGGAGCGAAAGCGUGGGGAGCGAACAGG